rnacentral:other from 1 species
AUCAGUACGCAUGGAUGUCUUCAGCGGCCGGAGGGCACGUCGCCCCCGGCACCGAACAAAGGAAAUCAUCAUGGCUCAGGGCACCGUCAAGUGGUUCAACGCUGACAAGGGCUUCGGCUUCAUCGCGCAGGACGGUGGCGGCGAGGACGUGUUCGUCCACUUCUCCGCCAUCCAGUCCAACGGCUACAAGUCGCUCGACGAGAACCAGAAGGUCGAGUUCGACCUCGCCCAGGGCCCCAAGGGCCCCCAGGCCGAGAACGUUCGCGUCUCUUCCUGAUCUUCGCCGCGUUGGCCCCCGACCGCAGCUGCGGUCGGGGGCCUU